rnacentral:rRNA from 1 species
UGCAGUCGACGAUGAAGCUUCUAGCUUGCUAGAAGUGGAUUAGUGGCGCACGGGUGAGUAAGGUAUAGUUAAUCUGCCCUACACAAGAGGACAACAGUUGGAAACGACUGCUAAUACUCUAUACUCCUGCUUAACACAAGUUGAGUAGGGAAAGUUUUUCGGUGUAGGAUGAGACUAUAUAGUAUCAGCUAGUUGGUAAGGUAAUGGGUUACACAGGGGAUAUGACGCUUAACUGGUCUGAGAGGAUGAUCAGUCACACUGGAACUGAGACACGGUCCAGACUCCUACGGGAGGCAGCAGUAGGGAAUAUUGCGCAAUGGGGGAAACCCUGACGCAGCAACGCCGCGUGGAGGAUGACACUUUUCGGAGCGUAAACUCCUUUUCUUAGGGAAGAAUUCUGACGGUACCUAAGGAAUAAGCACCGGCUAACUCCGUGCCAGCAGCCGCGGUAAUACGGAGGGUGCAAGCGUUACUCGGAAUCACUGGGCGUAAAGGGCCGCGUAGGCGGAUAAUCAAGUCUCCUUGUGAAAUCUAAUGGCUUAACCAUUAAACUGCUUGGGAAA